rnacentral:rRNA from 1 species
AAUAGAUACCCGGGUAGUCCACGCCGUAAACGAUGAGUGCUAAGUGUUAGAGGGUUUCCGCCCUUUAGUGCUGCAGCUAACGCAUUAAGCACUCCGCCUGGGGAGUACGGCCGCAAGGCUGAAACUCAAAGGAAUUGACGGGGGCCCGCACAAGCGGUGGAGCAUGUGGUUUAAUUCGAAGCAACGCGAAGAACCUUACCAGGUCUUGACAUCCUCUGCCAACCCUAGAGAUAGGGCGUUCCCCUUAGGGGGACAGAGUGACAGGUGGUGCAUGGUUGUCGUCAGCUCGUGUCGUGAGAUGUUGGGUUAAGUCCCGCAACGAGCGCAACCCUUGAUCUUAGUUGCCAGCAUUUAGUUGGGCACUCUAAGGUGACUGCCGGUGACAAACCGGAGGAAGGUGGGGAUGACGUCAAAUCAUCAUGCCCCUUAUGACCUGGGCUACACACGUGCUACAAUGGAUGGUACAAAGAGCUGCGAACCCGCGAGGGUAAGCGAAUCUCAUAAAGCCAUUCUCAGUUCGGA